ensembl:lncRNA
GGGGGGGGGGAACGGCAGUUCCCAAGGUUGGAGGAAAGCAUGAUACUCGUUCGACUCGUAAGCCAAGUAACCUUUUGAUUAAGCAGGUCAAGAGUGUAGGAGAUUUAGAUUUAGUAGCGAGAGAACAUACUCGAAACCUGUGUUUUCAAAGAUAGCUCAGUUGGAAGGAAUAAAACAAUGAACUCGAACUGUGGAGCUUUACUAAACAAGAGGUUAUCAAUUCAAGCUGUUCAGGUUUCCCAAACUCCAUGAUUUAAACCGGUUUUACCUCAUUGUAUAGCUCUGUAUAAUUCACUUGAAAUCACGCACACACACACACACACAUCUAUUCUGUCAUUUCUAUUGGAGGAAAGAUUGACUCUCGUUAAGUUCAUCUCGUGUUCGUUUGAGAUUUUGGAUGAAUCGAUCAGAAACAGCAAAGAAACGAUAGAAGCCAGAAUAAAAGCUUUCCUCGCCAUGUUAGAGCAGCACUACCCCAUCUUGGGCAGCAGCCUGUGGCUUACAAUAGGACAGGAACUUUUGUAUUCAUUCACAACCAGAAGAGUAGGGGUCUCCGCCGUGGUCGGAAACAGGCCAGAAAAGCAAAUCUACCUAAAGAACACGUUGGCACGGGGGCGUCAUUCAAGUUCUUGAGUACCCUUUCAGUCUUAGCCUGACGUUUUAUGUGGCAGUUAUUGUAUUAAGAUCAGUCUUUAAGAGAUUUGAGGAAGAAGUGUAAGACAUGUUUAAAGUAUUCCCUCGAUACAUCUCAUUAGCCUGUAAAGCAAAGGAAGGCCCCUUUUAGAACCUCUGUGUCUUUAGAACCUCCGUGGUGGGUGUCGGGCACCAUGAGACGCGUUCCUUCAGCAAGAGGCUUGUUGUUGGAAUGUCGCCUGCUGUCACCAGUCCACCCAAACGGGGUGGUAAAGGAUGUGCCCCCCUCAGUGUGGGGGCCAUACUUUGGAAGGGUGACCGAAGGUCAAGUCACUUUUGAUUACAAGGGGAAAUUGUGUGCAAGACAAGGUUAGUGAUUCCUGGUACGUUUGAAACGGCUCCUUCAGUUUCCCGAGCAACCAGCCUGCCUGCUGAGUCCUUUUUAAGGACAGAGGGACAAACGAAGCCUUACGCUUAGAAGCCUUACGCUUACAGCUGCAUUGCCUUUUGAUUGGCCAGGCUGGCUGCCAUUCUAGUUGGGUUCACCCACCACGUGUGCUAUUCAGUAUGGACCCUUUCUUGGAGGUUUGUUCUCUUCUACCUCUGCAGUCGGUACCUAGACAAGUACCCUUUACCCGACAGCCCUUGCGUGGGCAGUAUGAUUGUAGCUACUGUUCCUGUUGGGUCUCCUGGAUGUGCUUCCUAGCUGAGGCAGUGCAGCAUAAGGACUAUGUGUUACGAGAUGCAACUAUGCAGACAUACCUGGGAACGUCGAGGUCCCACACGUCUAGUAGUCCCAUAUGUGGUGUGGGAUCUCCUCACGAGUCCCCUCUCGUCUCAUGAACUGGCAUAUGGACUGUUCAAGGUCAAAGGAUGGACUGUUCAAGGUCAAAGGGCCUUUGGGCAGUUGCAUGGUUAUUUUGACCAGGAGACUUGCCUGGACACCAUUCCUUAGCACUCCAAAGGAACCGUAUGGGCAGUGGGUUUAGAGGGUUCUGUAAAUGUUACUUGUGUUUAGACCAUUGACAUACCUCAUAAACUGCACACCACAACCUCACUGAACAGUAUGUGCUUUUGACCAAAGUUCUAGCGCUUAGGGGGCAUGUUCAUUUAAACAAAUCUGCUUUUUUAUUUUGCCCCUGAAUAUACAUCUGCAUUGACAGAAAUAUCAGGAACAAUGGAACAAGACUUUCCUUUAGUUUCCACCAAUCAGAAUUAUCCAACUGCAUACUAUAUCCAAAUGCAGCCUGGUGUAUUUGCCCAUUAUUGUUUUUCUUGAAGUGAUUUAGUGAUCACUAUUUCCUUGGUUUUGUUCUUGAAGUGAUUAGUGAUCACUCUUUCCUUAAUUUUUGAGAAUUUUGUAACUGUUUGACUUUCGGUUUGAAGAUUGGUAAAAGAGUGUGAUAAAGGGAACUCAUAGAUGACCUUCUGGUUUUGCAGUAACCUGUUAUAUUCCAUUUAGGAGCAAAAAUUCUUCGACUGUUUAGCAAGACUGGCUAACACCCACAAGUCUAUAACCCCCCCAACACAAUUUCCAUGUGAACUCCAUACCAUUAUUGUAUUGAAAUUCAUUACAGUGCAUGACAUAACGGGUGCCUUUCUGUAGGUAUCUUGGGUAUUUUGUGUGUGCGUGUUAGGUUGGGGGGGUCUUGGGGUGGUGUGGAACACGGCGGCGUAACUGGAAGGCAUGGUGUUCUUGAUCCGGUAGCCAGAGUGCUAAUACUGAUGGACCAAUAUGAUUUUGACAUUACUAACAGCUUUUGCAAGAGCUUGUAAGAAACAGUAUAGCACUUAACUACAUUACGUUAGCAUGUACAGUACUGAUGCUCCAGUCAACACCCUAAACUACUUGGUAAUGCUGAUUAGUCAGUCCCGCUAGGAUUUUGCGAUCUUGGGUUUUCCCAAAUUUACACAAAUUUCAAGGAUUUCCCGCCAUUUUUUGGCCACAAUAAUUACAACAAUUCCGCAUAAGAUCCUGGAAGGACUGAUACGUUUUAGCACAUGAUUUUCUGUGUAGUCCUUAUGGAAGAAUGAGAAAGUUUUGCGCUAUUUAAAUACCCUUCAAAGGAGUUGUUUAAAGCUAAAUCAUUAUUUAACCCACUAAGCCAACAUGUUUCUUAGACUUGGGUUUUCAUUUCGUGUAAACCAAGAGGUAGAAACUUUAUGAAUUAUACAACCAUAGGCAUACUGUGUCAUGAAGAUUUACUUGACAAGGCUGGUCAACCAGGCAGCUAGCACAGUGCAGCCUAACACAAUAUUAGCCCUUAGUCUGUGAUUGGAAUUUAAAGAUGAAUUUUCUUGGUCAUUGAGAAAAAAAACUUUUGCGGGAGCCUUUUUCAUUUUUUGUAAGACUUUCAUCUCGAAAAUACUGGAUUAAUAAAACACCAAAAGAUACAGUCAACCUUGAUAUAGUUGACUUUGUCUGUUGGGAUGCCAGAAUGAUCAGUCAUGCCAUUUUUUUAUGUAUUCAUCGUUCGUGUCUUUAAAGAUCCCCAAACUUUUGGAAGUGAUGAUUUUCUGUGUUCUUGAAAAGAUCAAUUUCACAAUGUCUACUCAGACAAUAACUAAAGGUAAUAAAGUAACAUAAUGAUAAAAAUAUGAAAGCAAUAUUUACCUGUAGUACUACACUAUUAAUGCUUAAAAUAACUUUUAUUAAUUGUUACAAUUUGCUACAAUGAAUUCCAUUUUAAAUGAGCGCAGUUCAAGACUCACAGAAAUUUGAGAAACACAGAGUUGUUUGCUAUGAUUAGUUUGCUCUUGAAAUGUAUGUAGAUGUUUUUUUAUGUAUGUGUAUUCUCAGAUAUUCUACCAACUGCCUUUGUUUUCAGUCAUGGAUAUAAUUGUCUGCUUUAUAAUAUUUCUGCACACUAACUGAGUUUUUAAUCUUUAUUAACUUUUUCAUACUUCACUGUGUUUGAAAUAAUUUGCUUGGAUGCCCUUCAUUAAAUAGUGUGCUAUCUCUUGGAA